rnacentral:rRNA from 1 species
GGGUGACUGCGUACCUUUUGUAUAAUGGGUCAGCGACUUAUAUUCUGUAGCAAGGUUAACCGAAUAGGGGAGCCGUAGGGAAACCGAGUCUUAACUGGGCGAAUGAGUUGCAGGGUAUAGACCCGAAACCCGGUGAUCUAUCCAUGGGCAGGUUGAAGGUUGGGUAACACUAACUGGAGGACCGAACCGACUAAUGUUGAAAAAUUAGCGGAUGACUUGUGGAUGGGGGUGAAAGGCCAAUCAAACCGGGAGAUAGCUGGUUCUCCCCGAAAGCUAUUUAGGUAGCGCCUCGUGAAUUCAUCUUCGGGGGUAGAGCACUGUUUCGACUAGGGGGUCAUCCCGACUUACCAACUCGAUGCAAACUGCGAAUACCGAAGAAUGUUAUCACGGGAGACACACGGCGGGUGCUAACGUCCGUCGUGAAGAGGGAAACAACCCAGACCGCCAGCUAAGGUCCCAAAGUCAUGGUUAAGUGGGAAACGAAGUGGGAAGGCUCAGACAGCCAGGAUGUUGGCUUAGAAGCAGCCAUCAUUUAAAGAAAGCGUAAUAGCUCACUGGUCGAGUCGGCCCGCGCGGAAGAUGUAACGGGGCUAAACCAUGCACCGAAGCUGCGGCAGCGACACUUAGGUGUUGUUGGGUAGGGGAGCGUUCUGUAAGCCUGCGAAGGUGUACUGUGAGGUAUGCUGGAGGUAUCAGAAGUGCGAAUGCUGACAUAAGUAACGAUAAUGCGGGUGAAAAACCCGCACGCCGGAAGACCAAGGGUUCCUGUCCAACGUUAAUCGGGGCAGGGUGAGUCGACCCCUAAGGCGAGGCUGAAAAGCGUAGUCGAUGGGAAACGGGUUAAUAUUCCCGUACUGGUGGUAACUGCGAUGGGGGAACGGAGAAGGCUAGGUUGUCCGGGCGACGGUCGUCCCGGUUCAAGCAUGUAGGCAGAGUGAUUAGGCAAAUCCGGUCACUUAAUGCUGAGGUGUGAUGACGAGCCACUAAGGUGGUGAAGCAAUUGAUGCCCUGCUUCCAGGAAAAGCCUCUAAGCUUCAGGUUACCAACAAUCGUACCCCAAACCGACACAGGUGGUCAGGUAGAGAAUACUCAGGCGCUUGAGAGAACUCGGGUGAAGGAACUAGGCAAAAUGGUGCCGUAACUUCGGGAGAAGGCACGCUGGCGGUAAGUGAAGUCCCUCGCGGACGGAGCCGAAGCCAGUCGAAGAUACCAGCUGGCUGCAACUGUUUAUUAAAAACACAGCACUGUGCAAACACGAAAGUGGACGUAUACGGUGUGACGCCUGCCCGGUGCUGGAAGGUUAAUUGAUGGGGUUAUCCUUAGGGAGAAGCUCUUGAUCGAAGCCCCAGUAAACGGCGGCCGUAACUAUAACGGUCCUAAGGUAGCGAAAUUCCUUGUCGGGUAAGUUCCGACCUGCACGAAUGGCGUAAUGAUGGCCAGGCUGUCUCCACCCGAGACUCAGUGAAAUUGAACUCGCUGUGAAGAUGCAGUGUACCCGCGGCAAGACGGAAAGACCCCGUGAACCUUUACUAUAGCUUGACACUGAACAUUGAGCCUUGAUGUGUAGGAUAGGUGGGAGACUAAGAAGUGUGGACGCCAGUCUGCAUGGAGUCAACCUUGAAAUACCACCCUUUAACGUUUGAUGUUCUAACCUAGGCCCGUAAUCCGGGUCGGGGACCGUGUCUGGUGGGUAGUUUGACUGGGGCGGUCUCCUCCUAAAGAGUAACGGAGGAGCACGAAGGUUGGCUAAGCAUGGUCGGACAUCAUGCGGUUAGUGCAAAGGCAUAAGCCAGCUUGACUGUGAGAGUGACGGCUCGAGCAGGUACGAAAGUAGGUCUUAGUGAUCCGGUGGUUCUGAAUGGAAGGGCCAUCGCUCAACGGAUAAAAGGUACUCCGGGGAUAACAGGCUGAUACCGCCCAAGAGUUCAUAUCGACGGCGGUGUUUGGCACCUCGAUGUCGGCUCAUCACAUCCUGGGGCUGAAGUAGGUCCCAAGGGUAUGGCUGUUCGCCAUUUAAAGUGGUACGCGAGCUGGGUUUAGAACGUCGUGAGACAGUUCGGUCCCUAUCUGCCGUGGGCGUUGGAAGAUUGAGAGGGGUUGCUCCUAGUACGAGAGGACCGGAGUGAACGCACCACUGGUGUUCGGGUUGUCAUGCCAAUGGCAUUGCCCGGUAGCUAAGUGCGGAAGAGAUAACCGCUGAAAGCAUCUAAGCGGGAAACUUGCCUCGAGAUGAGUCUUCCCUGUCACCUAGAGUGACCUAAAGGAACGUUUAAGACUAAGACGUUGAUAGGCUGGGUGUGUAAGCGUAGCGAUACGUUGAGCUAACCAGUACUAAUGAACCGUGAGGCUUAACCUG